UACGUAGGGGGCAAGCGUUAUCCGGAUUUACUGGGUGUAAAGGGAGCGUAGACGGCAAGACAAGCCUGGAGUGAAAGGCGGGGGCCUAACCCCCGGACUGCUCUGGGAACUGUCUGGCUGGAGUGCAGGAGGGGUAAGUGGAAUUCCUAGUGUAGCGGUGAAAUGCGUAGAUAUUAGGAGGAACACCAGUGGCGAAGGCGGCUUACUGGACUGUAACUGACGUUGAGGCUCGAAAGCGUGGGGAGCAAACAGG
rnacentral:rRNA from 1 species